GUGCCAUCUUAAAUCUUUGCUUCCUGUUUUCCUUUGCUGAUCAUUGGCCAUCACUCUGUCGCAGAUUCCAUCAUUAUCUUCCUUUCUUCUAUCAGGAGGAUCGGAAGCCCACAGGAAGGAAAGAACAGCAUGAGGGCAUCCUUCCUCUUGAACCAAAGUCAUUGAAUUCUCGGAGAUAUAAGCAAGGACAUCAGCCAUCUUUGGCAUCCAUCACUAGACACACACAAGAAAACAGAGCUCUUGCCAGCUGAGAAAGAUGUUUCCUUCAACCAAGGGCAGGCUGAAGUCUCUGGAAACUGAAUAUAGAGCUCCACUGGACAAUGAAGAUCCUGAAGGCUCUGCUGUGGAGGAGACUUGUGCCUCAGCUCACUCUUCUGUAAGAUGGAGAUGACACUUCCUGCACUCAUAGCAGAGUUUUGAAGGAGAAAAUGCUCCAAAGAACAGCCUCAUCAGUUGAAGCCUUCAAGACCUGGAAACUUGCCAUAAUGUCCAACCCGACUAGUGGUCCACGCUGUAAGACAGGUUUGAGAAAUUGGCUGUUACCUUGCAGAAGACACCAUUCUCCUGUUUGUCUUCAUGUGACAGGGCGAACCCAAGAUGAAAUCCUAGAAGGGUUUGAAUCAUCACAAGCCUUAAGGAAUCCAAGCAAUACAGUCUGAUACAAGAGGAUUUUUUUUAACUGCGCUAGUCCUAUGUGACAACCUGCAGCAUCCAGGACAGAAGCAUCUGCCUGCAAGGAAAACCUUGGAGGGUUUUAAAUUGCUGAAAAAUUCACUUUCCUCAAUCAGCUUAACAAAGAUGGUGACAGUGUCAUGAUGCUUUGGCUUGCAUAAAACUGUAGUUAGUUUUAGAUGUAGGGCUUUAUUAUGUUAUGAUUAAUGUUAGUUUGUAGUUAAAAAUCCAACAUGGCCACCGCUAUUAUUUUCUAUUAAGAAUUCCCAAGAUGGAGGACAUAGACUAAAUUGACCAAUAGCAAGUCAGAAGCAGGGGUUGAACAAAGUUCAGGAGAAUGACUGACUCAAAACAGGUGCAGGGGGGGCAGGAGGAGGAGUAGCUAUGAUGUAAGGGCAGAGCUGAUUGGCUGAAUGGGUUGCCACCCACACAGGAAGGGCUCAGCUUGAAACAUCAACCAAUCAGAGGAGGCCAGAAACUGAAUAUAAGGCUGGCCCAAAACAGGCUCAGGCUAUGGGUGUGAGUGGAGAAGAUUAGAGAAAAGGACAGAAAGGUGAAGAUCACAGAAUGGAAGGACAAGCUUGUAAGCAGCGAGAGCAUACUUGGCAAAGCAGGAAGGACCCUAGGUGAUUCAGAGGGAUUGUUGAAAGAGUGUAAGUCUGGUUUGUAGGCUGAUUCUUGAGACAUGACUGAGUAUGCCUAUAAAUAAAUCUGAUUCUGAGUGUGAGCCACCCCACCCCUUUUUUUGUGACCCUCUGAUCACGUCUUAUGAAAGGGUAAUUUUAAUGUUAUAGUGUAAUGCUAUUUUAUACACAUACAUAGUCUAUGGCACUAGAGGCCCUAUGCAUGUGUAUGAAGAAGGUCAACAUUGUAUUUAUCUCAUAGUCUAUGUAGUCUUCUUGGUAAACUGAAUGUAUAAUCUCUACAUGUAAUAUUACUGCCUAUUAUAUGCUAUACUGUUUUCUGUCUUGCUUUACUGAAUAUACUAUAAUCACCUAAUUUAUUUCAAU